rnacentral:rRNA from 1 species
GGGCGUAGAGGGCUCGCAGGCGGUUUCUUAAGUCUGAUGUGAAAGCCCCCGGCUCAACCGGGGAGGGUCAUUGGAAACUGGGGAACUUGAGUGCAGAAGAGGAGAGUGGAAUUCCACGUGUAGCGGUGAAAUGCGUAGAGAUGUGGAGGAACACCAGUGGCGAAGGCGACUCUCUGGUCUGUAACUGACGCUGAGGAGCGAAAGCGUGGGGAGCGAACAGGAUUAGAUACCCUGGUAGUCCACGCCGUAAACGAUGAGUGCUAAGUGUUAGGGGGUUUCCGCCCCUUAGUGCUGCAGCUAACGCAUUAAGCACUCCGCCUGGGGAGUACGGUCGCAAGACUGAAACUCAAAGGAAUUGACGGGGGCCCGCACAAGCGGUGGAGCAUGUGGUUUAAUUCGAAGCAACGCGAAGAACCUUACCAGGUCUUGACAUCCUCUGACAAUCCUAGAGAUAGGACGUCCCCUUCGGGGGCAGAGUGACAGGUGGUGCAUGGUUGUCGUCAGCUCGUGUCGUGAGAUGUUGGGUUAAGUCCCGCAACGAGCGCAACCCUUGAUCUUAGUUGCCAGCAUUCAGUUGGGCACUCUAAGGUGACUGCCGGUGACAAACCGGAGGAAGGUGGGGAUGACGUCAAAUCAUCAUGCCCCUUAUGACCUGGGCUACACACGUGCUACAAUGGACAGAACAAAGGGCAGCGAAACCGCGAGGUUAAGCCAAUCCCACAAAUCUGUUCUCAGUUCGGAUCGCAGUCUGCAACUCGACUGCGUGAAGCUGGAAUCGCUAGUAAUCGCGGAUCACAUGC